UGGGGAAUAUUGCACAAUGGGGGAAACCCUGAUGCAGCGACGCCGCGUGAACGAAGAAGGUAUUCGUAUCGUAUAGUUCUGUCCUAUGGGAAGAUAAUGACAGUACCAUAGAAGAAAGCUCCGGCUAAAUACGUGCCAGCAGCCGCGGUAAUACGUAUGGAGCGAGCGUUGUCCGGAAUUAUUGGGCGUAAAGGGUACGCAGGCGGUUUAAUAAGUCGAAUGUUAAAGAUCGGGGCUCAACCCCGUAAAGCAUUGGAAACUGAUAAACUUGAGUAGUGGAGAGGAAAGUGGAAUUCCUAGUGUGGUGGUGAAAUACGUAGAUAUUAGGAGGAAUACCAGUAGCGAAGGCGACUUUCUGGACACAAACUGACGCUGAGGUACGAAAGCGUGGGGAGCAAACAGG
rnacentral:rRNA from 1 species